rnacentral:rRNA from 1 species
UUUACGGGAGGCAGCAGUGGGGAAUAUUGGACAAUGGGCGAAAGCCUGAUCCAGCCAUACCGCGUGUGUGAAGAAGGCCUUAGGGUUGUAAAGCACUUUAAGUUGGGAAGAAAGGUUAUUGGCUAAUACCCAACAACUGUGACAUUACCAUCAGAAUAAGGACCGGCUAAUUCCGUGCCAGCAGCCGCGGUAAU